GCUUAACACAUGCAAGUCGAACGGAAAGGCCCUGCUUUUGUGGGGUGCUCGAGUGGCGAACGGGUGAGUAACACGUGAGUAACCUGCCCUUGACUUUGGGAUAACUUCAGGAAACUGGGGCUAAUACCGGAUAGGAGCUCCUGCUGCAUGGUGGGGGUUGGAAAGUUUCGGCGGUUGGGGAUGGACUCGCGGCUUAUCAGCUUGUUGGUGGGGUAGUGGCUUACCAAGGCUUUGACGGGUAGCCGGCCUGAGAGGGUGACCGGCCACAUUGGGACUGAGAUACGGCCCAGACUCCUACGGGAGGCAGCAGUGGGGAAUAUUGCACAAUGGGCGGAAGCCUGAUGCAGCAACGCCGCGUGCGGGAUGACGGCCUUCGGGUUGUAAACCGCUUUCGCCUGUGACGAAGCGUGAGUGACGGUAAUGGGUAAAGAAGCACCGGCUAACUACGUGCCAGCAGCCGCGGUGAUACGUAGGGUGCGAGCGUUGUCCGGAUUUAUUGGGCGUAAAGGGCUCGUAGGUGGUUGAUCGCGUCGGAAGUGUAAUCUUGGGGCUUAACCCUGAGCGUGCUUUCGAUACGGGUUGACUUGAGGAAGGUAGGGGAGAAUGGAAUUCCUGGUGGAGCGGUGGAAUGCGCAGAUAUCAGGAGGAACACCAGUGGCGAAGGCGGUUCUCUGGGCCUUUCCUGACGCUGAGGAGCGAAAGCGUGGGGAGCGAACAGGCUUAGAUACCCUGGUAGUCCACGCUGUAAACGGUGGGUACUAGGUGUGGGGUCCAUUCCACGGGCUCCGUGCCGUAGCUAACGCUUUAAGUACCCCGCCUGGGGAGUACGGCCGCAAGGCUAAAACUCAAAGGAAUUGACGGGGCCCCGCACAAGCGGCGGAGCAUGCGGAUUAAUUCGAUGCAACGCGUAGAACCUUACCUGGGUUUGACAUGGAUCGGGAGUGCUCAGAGAUGGGUGUGCCUCUUUUGGGGUCGGUUCACAGGUGGUGCAUGGCUGUCGUCAGCUCGUGUCGUGAGAUGUUGGGUUAAGUCCCGCAACGAGCGCAACCCUUGUUCACUGUUGCCAGCACGUUAUGGUGGGGACUCAGUGGAGACCGCCGGGGUCAACUCGGAGGAAGGUGGGGAUGACGUCAAGUCAUCAUGCCCCUUAUGUCCAGGGCUUCACGCAUGCUACAAUGGCUGGUACAGAGAGUGGCGAGCCUGUGAGGGUGAGCGAAUCUCGGAAAGCCGGUCUCAGUUCGGAUUGGGGUCUGCAACUCGACCUCAUGAAGUCGGAGUCGCUAGUAAUCGCAGAUCAGCAACGCUGCGGUGAAUACGUUCCCGGGGCUUGUACACACCGCCCGUCAAGUCAUGAAAGUUGGUAACACCCGAAGCCGGUGGCCUAACCGUUGUGGGGGAGCCGUCGAAGGUGGGACUGGUGAUUAGGACUAA
rnacentral:rRNA from 1 species